CCCUCCGACCGCGGCUAUAGCGGCGCCAUCUUGGGCGUGAGUGCGGGCGGCUGGCCGGAGGUGUCUCGGAGCUAGUCCUUCCCGACCUCUGUUCCGUGGGUCGACACCGACGUGGGUCGAGCUCUAGGCCGGCUCAGGGGGCACGCGCUGAGAUGAUGCUGAGAGGAAACCUGAAGCAAGUGCGCAUUGAGAAGAACCCGGCGCGCCUCCGCGCUCUGGAGUCGGCGGCCGGAGAGGGGGACCCAGCGGCCCUGGCGCUCGCGCUGCCGGGGGAGCCGCCGGUGCCCGCCGCGCCCGCCGGGGAGGACCGGCCGGCUGACGAGGGCGGUUUCACCAUCGACAUAAAGAGCUUUCUCAAGCCGGGCGAGAAGACGUACACGCAGCGCUGCCGCCUCUUCGUGGGGAACCUGCCCACGGACAUCACCGAGGACGACUUCAAGCGGUUGUUCGAACGCUAUGGCGAGCCCAGCGAGGUCUUCAUCAACCGCGACCGCGGCUUCGGCUUCAUCCGCCUGGAGUCCAGAACACUGGCUGAAAUUGCAAAAGCAGAGCUGGAUGGCACCAUUUUGAAGAGCAGACCUCUCCGAAUUCGUUUUGCUACACAUGGAGCAGCCCUAACUGUUAAGAACCUUUCUCCGGUGGUUUCCAAUGAGCUUCUAGAGCAAGCAUUUUCCCAGUUUGGUCCAGUAGAGAAAGCCGUUGUUGUUGUGGAUGAUCGUGGUAGAGCUACGGGAAAAGGUUUUGUGGAAUUUGCAGCAAAGCCUCCUGCACGAAAGGCUCUGGAAAGAUGUGGUGAUGGGGCGUUCUUGCUAACAACGACCCCUCGUCCGGUCAUUGUGGAGCCCAUGGAACAGUUUGAUGAUGAAGAUGGCUUGCCAGAGAAACUAAUGCAGAAAACUCAGCAGUAUCAUAAGGAAAGAGAACAGCCACCACGUUUUGCUCAGCCUGGGACAUUUGAAUUUGAAUAUGCAUCUCGAUGGAAGGCUCUGGAUGAAAUGGAGAAGCAGCAGCGCGAGCAGGUUGACAGAAACAUCCGAGAAGCAAAAGAGAAACUGGAGGCGGAGAUGGAAGCUGCCCGGCACGAGCACCAGCUGAUGCUCAUGCGGCAAGAUUUAAUGAGACGUCAAGAGGAACUCAGACGUUUGGAAGAACUCAGAAACCAAGAGCUACAAAAACGAAAGCAAAUACAGCUGAGGCAUGAGGAAGAGCACCGUCGUCGUGAAGAGGAAAUGAUCCGACACAGAGAACAGGAGGAGCUGAGGCGACAGCAGGAGGGCUUUAAGCCAAACUAUAUGGAAAAUGAGAAAAGGAAACAUGGAUGAAGCUACCUGAAAUUUGGCUUCCUGUGUGAGCCCGAAGUUGCAAGCUGAGGAAAAUUUGCCAGUGUCCUUUCAGUGGUCUUGGGGAGCAGGAAUGUCAGCCUUUCCUGAGCACAGCUUGUGAGAUGAGACCGAUGGCAUCAGACCACUGGCUUAAUAGGGUCCCAGGGCAUCUGCAUCCACAGUCAAAUCAUUCUGUGGAAGAAAUGAACAACAAGGGAGAAAUGAACCAGAAGAAUCUUGUUUUAUUUUUCAAUUUAUUACCACUCCAUUAUAAACAACCUGUGGAUAGAUGAGCAGUCAUGACACUUUAUCCAGCCCAUGAGUAAAGCUCUUCUGUACCAGUUGGGAGAAGUCAGGCCUGGAAACGCCAGGUUUGGCUGGAAAAGAGCUUCAUCACCUACAGCCACAUUCAUGAGAGUUGACCAGGUCUCUGGUAAGUUAAAUUGACAACCCAAUUCUGCAUUAUGUCUGUACCUCAGUAUGUACAUUGGAAAGUAGUAAUUGCUGAGGGGUCAUGGUUUUUAGAGUUAGGAGAAAACUGAAGAAGAAAAAUGUGUACUAAUUGGUCUUCAGUGAGUCUGGAUAAUGAGCAGUGCAAUCCCAUUUGUAGCUGAGAUCUCCUGUGGCCCUAGGAUGAAGCUCAGUUGUAGUUAUGGGGUUUGAGAUGGCUUUGGUUUCUACUCAUAGUAGUAGCAGCAAAUCUGCAAACCUUUGCUAAGGUACUGCUUGAGAAUUGGGUUUUUCAGAGCAAUCAUUAUACACACAUAUGCCAGUAUUAAACUGAAGGAUGUGAUCUGAUCAGCUGCCUUGUCAGUUGGGAGGUUCAAGACCUCAUCAUCCUUAAGCCACAAGGGUCAGAAUUUCCCCACCCAAGGGCACAUGUGCUUAGGUUCACCUGCUACAGAGAGAAGUGAGUUUAGAUGAAAGCAACUAUAUUAACCUGCAUGGCUCUACAAGUGGUUAUAUUCCCAGUGCGCUUGUGCUUGUAAAGGUGUGCUCUUAAGAUAACAGGAAUGUUACAAUCCUGGACAAAGUGCACUGCUGCUGACACAAAUCUCGCAGCUAUGAAGUCAGAUGCAGAGGAGUAUAGGAUCCAAUACAGUUGAAAAGUCUAACGCAGGUAUUGCUAUUGCUAACCCAAACACAUUUCACAUCACCUUUUUGCUGAAGGUCCUGAGACUUGAGAUAGAAAAUAGAAAACAUUGUAUUUUAUUGAGGACACUGUAGGAAAAGUCAGUUUAACCCUGAAAUGUCUAUAUAGUGUAUGUGGUUUGCUCUAACUAUCCACAGGUUCUGUCUGCAUCUAGGGCACAAAAAAGUUCCCCAAAAGCACACCAGGAACCCCCUACAUAGAAUUAAUAUUAAUACCUAGCAUUUACUUUGUUUUAGGUACUGUUAGUCCAGAGAUGAUUAAAAGUAAAAGGUGGGACUCAAAGGGGUUAAAUGCAGAUACAUCAUUUCAUAUAAAGGACUUGAGCAUCGGGAUUCUGGAACCCAGUCCCCUGUGGAUGCUGAGAGAGAGGACAUAUGCGACAUUUCUGAAAAUUGUUCAUUAAAAUUUAACUCAAUCAUAAAA